rnacentral:lncRNA from 1 species
AAAACGUUUUGAAUUCUGGAGCAUUCCAAAUCAGGCAUCAGGCAUAUGUGAGAAAGGAGUGUGGUCUACAGCAGAUCAGAUUAAUUCUCUAGGCAAUCGCAAAAGGAAAUACCCAAAAAGAUGCAUUUAAUAAUCCCUUUUGAUUUAAUUCAAUUUGCCAAGUAACAUCCCAAUGACCAAUUCAUUAUCUUGGGCACAGUAAUAGUAAUAUCAGGAACAUAUUACUAAACAGAAAAUAUGUUAUAUUUUAAGAGAAGUUUUAAGAAAUGCAAUGGCUGGGUGCAGUGGCUCGUGUGCAUAAUCC